AUCGCUUCUCGGCCUUUUAGCUAAGAUCAAGUGUAGUAUCUGUUCUUACCAGUUUAAAUAUGGUAACAAACUACAGUAGUCUUAUUGGUACCUGUGGCUUAGUCACCAAUAGAAAUCAAGAUAAUUUCAUAUAACAUUAU
ensembl:snRNA U2 U2 spliceosomal RNA